UACGGAGGGUGCGAGCGUUGUCCGGAAUCAUUGGGCGUAAAGGGCGCGUAGGUGGCCUGGUCAGCGUGCGGUGAAAGCUCGGGGCUCAACCCCGAGUCGGCCGUGCGAACUGCUGGGCUGGAGCACUGUAGAGGCAGGCGGAAUUCCGGGUGUAGCGGUGGAAUGCGUAGAGAUCCGGGAAGAACACCGGUGGCGAAGGCGGCCUGCUGGGCAGU
rnacentral:rRNA from 1 species